AAUAGUUUUAUGCCACAUCAGUACUCUUAUCCUGAAUUUCAGGAUUUUAUCCUGAAAAAAAUCAAAUCCAAAUUAAAAUACUGAAAUUCAAAAUAAAGUCCUGAAAUUUAGGAUAAGAAUACUGAUGUGGCAUAAAACUAUU
rnacentral:pre_miRNA from 1 species